UUUUUUUUAAAACUUUACUACAAACUUAUGUCAAAACAGUGGGCAAAGAGAAAACAUGACAAUAACUCAAAUAUUUCAUUCAAAGCAACAGAUACUAACAAGAUCGAGAGACGGAGAAAGCUAAAUUGACGGGCCAAAUACCAUUUACAUCACAUAUGAUUCGCCACAUAGGCUAGACUUGAAACCGUAGACCUACGCAAAUGACAAUGUCGGCAAUAACGAACUAAAGCAACACACUAGAGGCUUGAUGACAAUGAUUAUAAAAUAACACGGUUUCAAUGGCAUUCAAGAGAUAGGCUCAAAAAGAAGAACAUAACAAGAAAAAACUAACUCGAAUAGAGUAGUGGGGAAAACACCAAUGACCCUCUAAAGUUUUAACCCGAUGUUGGGACUAACUUAUGCAAACGAAUGGGAGUACACACAACAUGCUAAGAACGUCAUCAACCCAACAACAAAUNNN
rnacentral:lncRNA from 1 species